rnacentral:rRNA from 1 species
CACGUAGGGCGCAAGCGUUGUCCGGAAUUAUUGGGCGUAAAGAGCUCGUAGGUGGUUUGUUACGUCUGCUGUGAAAACCUAGGGCUUAACCCCGGGCGUGCAGUGGAUACGGGCUGGCUAGAGGCAGGCAGGGGAGAACGGAAUUCCCGGUGUAGCGGUGAAAUGCGCAGAUAUCAGGAGGAACACCGGUGGCGAAGGCGGGUCUCUGGGCAGUUACUGACGCUGAGAAGCGAAAGCAUGGGGAGCGAACAGG